rnacentral:rRNA from 1 species
GAUGAACGCUGGCGGCGUGCCUAAUACAUGCAAGUCGAGCGAGCGGCGGACGGGUGAGUAACACGUGGAAACCUCCCUAUAUGACUGGGAUAACUUCGGGAAACCGGAGCUAAUACCGGAUACUUCUAGAUGGAUCCGCGCUGCAUUAGCUAGUUGGUAAGGUAACGGCUUACCAAGGCGACGAUCCGGAACUGGUCUGAGAGGAUGAUCAGGCACACUGGAACUGAGACACGGUCCAUACUCCUACGGGAGGCAGCAGUGGGGAAUAUUGGACAAUGGGCGAAAGCCUGAUCCAGCCAUGCCGCGUGUGUGAAGAAGGUCAUCGGAUUGUAAAGCACUUUCAGUUGGGAGGCGUUACCAGCAGAAUAAGCACCGGCUAACUUCGUGCCAGCAGCCGCGGUAAUAC